rfam:Aedes albopictus isolate Foshan contig35950, whole genome shotgun sequence.
UGCCCAGCAACUCCUAUCCCUACCUCCUCGUGGUACCGACCGGAAACUAUGAGCAACCUUAGGGAAGAUCGGGUAACCAACCCCGGUGGGAACUUUGGUCAUAGGCUGACAGGGAAGG